AUUGAACGCUGGCGGCAUGCUUUACACAUGCAAGUCGAACGGUAACAGGCCGCAAGGUGCUGACGAGUGGCGAACGGGUGAGUAAUGCAUCGGAACGUGCCCAGUCGUGGGGGAUAACGCAGCGAAAGCUGCGCUAAUACCGCAUACGAUCUGUGGAUGAAAGCGGGGGGCCGUAAGGCCUCGCGCGAUUGGAGCGGCCGAUGUCAGAUUAGGUAGUUGGGGGGGUAAAGGCUCACCAAGCCAACGAUCUGUAGCUGGGCUGAGAGGACGACCAGCCAGACUGGCACUAAGACACGGCCCAGACUCCUACGGGAGGCAGCAGUGGGGAAUUUUGGACAAUGGGCGCAAGCCUGAUCCAGAAAUGCCGCGUGCAGGAAGAAGGCCUUCGGGUUGUAAACUGCUUUUGUACGGAACGAAACGGUCCGGGUUAAUACCCUGGGCUAAUGACGGUACCGUAAGAAUAAGCACCGGCUAACUACGUGCCAGCCGCCGCAGUAAGAC
rnacentral:rRNA from 1 species